CCUACGGGUGGCAGCAGUGAGGAAUAUUGGUCAAUGGACGAGAGUCUGAACCAGCCAAGUAGCGUGAAGGAUGACUGCCCUCUGGGUUGUAAACUUCUUUUAUAUGGGAAUAAAACGUUCCACGUGUGGGAUUUUGUAUGUACCAUAUGAAUAAGGAUCGGCUAACUCCGUGCCAGCAGCCGCGGUAAUACGGAGGAUCCGAGCGUUAUCCGGAUUUAUUGGGUGUAAAGGGAGCGUAGGUGGAUUGUUAAGUCAGUUGUGAAAGUUUGCGGCUCAACCGGAGAAUUGCAGUUGAAACUGGCAGUCUAGAGUACAGUAGAGGUGGGCAGAAUUCGUGGUGUAGCGGUGAAAUGCUUAGAUAUCACGAAGAACUCCGAUUGCGAAGGCAGUUCACUGGACUGCAACUGACACUGAGGCUCGAAAGUGUGGGUAUCAAACAGGAUUAGAUACCCUGGUAGUC
rnacentral:rRNA from 1 species